CAAAGGGGGCGACCCCGGUCAUGGAUGGGCAUGCGGCGCAUUAGGUAGUUGGUGGGGCAACGGCCCACCAAGCCGACGAUGCGUAGGGGUUCUGAGAGGAAGGUCCCCCACAUUGGAACUGAGACACGGUCCAAACUCCUACGGGAGGCAGCAGUGAGGAAUAUUGGUCAAUGGCCGGAAGGCUGAACCAGCCAAGUCGCGUGAGGGAAUAAGGCCCUACGGGUCGUAAACCUCUUUUGCCAGGGAGCAAUGCCGUCCACGUGUGGACGGAAGGAGAGUACCUGGAGAAAAAGCAUCGGCUAACUCCGUGCCAGCAGCCGCGGUAAUACGGAGGAUGCGAGCGUUAUCCGGAUUUAUUGGGUUUAAAGGGUGCGUAGGCGGCCUGCCAAGUCAGCGGUAAAAUUGCGGGGCUCAACCCCGUACAGCCGUUGAAACUGCCGGGCUCGAGUGGGCGAGAAGUAUGCGGAAUGCGUGGUGUAGCGGUGAAAUGCAUAGAUAUCACGCAGAACCCCGAUUGCGAAGGCAGCAUACCGGCGCCCGACUGACGCUGAGGCACGAAAGUGCGGGGAUCAAACAGGAUUAGAUACCCUGGUAGUCCGCACAGU
rnacentral:rRNA from 1 species